rnacentral:lncRNA from 1 species
GGACCUCCUACUAGUGUGGUAUGAAAUAGUCACACAGAAGGUGGUUUUGGUAAGGGCAAAACUUCCUUCCAGCCUGAUAUCUAACUGUGCUAGGAAGAGGAAUGCACAGCAAAAGAAAAGGCGCCCCAGAGCACCCUCGCUUAUACAGCAGAAUUCAUACAGUAGCAGGGGCUACAAACCAACUGGUAAGACAUGGAUUGCAAGAUCAGCUCAGAAGAGAGAGAGGAUGCUGACUCUGAAACGCAGUCUAACAAGCAUGCAUGUGCACACACACACACUGCAACAUUGAUGAUGAUGAUGAUGAUGAUGAUGAUGAUGAAUGAAUUUGGAAGAAGAAGUGUAGACACAGAAGUGAACUGGUGACCAGAGUCCAGCCUUUUCUUCAGAAUCAACAUCCACAGUCUAGCCAUGGGACCUAAUCCUGAAUGUGCCUGUGUGAAGGUGCUGAGCAGGAGCACAGAGGCAAAAGGAUGCCCUGAAUCCUGAUGCGCCCAGUUCAAAGCGAAUGAAUCAGGGAGGUAUUUGAAGAAAGCUGUCUCCACCCCAAGGCAUUUCCAUCCUUUUAUUGCUCUCCCAACUUUAUGGUUACUCUGAGCACUGCAGCUUAUUUGGACACUUCCCUGGGUAGGGCAGAUAUUUCAACAGAUGUGAGCUAUGCCAACUAUCACCUACAGGGAAGGAGAUUAUAAAGGAAAGAACAUUUGAGAGGAAUUAACAAAAAACAAACAAAAUGGCACGUCAAAAAGGAGAGUGUCACCGGGAGCUUUUUUUUUUUUUUUUUUUUUUGCCAAGGGAGGUUGGGACAGGAGAAUGGAUCAAGUGGCACUCUCAAGGUUUCCAAAGCCGUUUCCUGCACUAAUGUGAUGUGUAUCUGCUCACUUUUAGAUCCUAGAACAGAGAACUAGGGGACAUGGGAAACCUAAAAUAAAAAGAAGAUUGUUGCAGCCA